GACGAACGCUGGCGGCGUGCUUAACACAUGCAAGUCGAACGAUGAACUUGGAGCUUGCUCUGGGGGAUUAGUGGCGAACGGGUGAGUAACACGUGAGUAACCUGCCCUGGACUCUGGGAUAACUUCGAGAAAUCGGAGCUAAUACCGGAUAGGACCUUGCACCGCAUGGUGUGGGGUGGAAAGUUUUUCGGUUUGGGAUGGACUCGCGGCCUAUCAGCUUGUUGGUGAGGUAAUGGCUCACCAAGGCGUCGACGGGUAGCCGGCCUGAGAGGGUGACCGGCCACACUGGGACUGAGACGCGGCCCAGACUCCUACGGGAGGCAGCAGUGGGGAAUAUUGCACAAUGGGCGCAAGCCUGAUGCAGCAACGCCGCGUGCGGGAUGACGGCCUUCGGGUUGUAAACCGCUUUUAGUAAGGAAGAAGCCGCGAGGUGACGGUACUUGCAGAAAAAGGACCGGCUAACUACGUGCCAGCAGCCGCAGUAACAC
rnacentral:rRNA from 1 species